rnacentral:rRNA from 1 species
GAUGAACGCUGGCGGCGUGCCUAAUACAUGCAAGUCGAGCGAACAGAUAAGGAGCUUGCUCCUUUGACGUUAGCGGCGGACGGGUGAGUAACACGUGGGUAACCUACCUAUAAGACUGGAAUAACUCCGGGAAACCGGGGCUAAUGCAGGAUAACAUGUUGAACCGCAUGGUUCUACAGUGAAAGGCGGCCUUGCUGUCACUUAUAGAUGGACCCGCGCCGUAUUAGCUAGUUGGUGAGGUAACGGCUCACCAAGGCAACGAUACGUAGCCGACCUGAGAGGGUGAUCGGCCACACUGGAACUGAGACACGGUCCAGACUCCUACGGGAGGCAGCAGUAGGGAAUCUUCCGCAAUGGGCGAAAGCCUGACGGAGCAACGCCGCGUGAGUGAUGAAGGUCUUCGGAUCGUAAAACCCUGUUAUUAGGGAAGAACAAAUGCGUAAGUAACUGUGCGCGUCUUGACGGUACCUAAUCAGAAAGCCACGACUAACUACGUG